rnacentral:misc_RNA from 1 species
CAUACGGACGCCACAAGUGUCCCUGGCCGCCUACACCCACUAUACAUCCACAAACCCGUGUGCACUGUCCUUGGAAAGGGCAUUUGGAGAGAAAAAGGAAGAGAAGCGAGAGCAGUGCGAUCCGUCGCGUUGGGCGUUUUCUUUUACUUGGUCUUCUUUAUGCCCUUUUCUUGCCACCAACCCCACUGGUUGGUAUGAACGUGGAACUUGGUUGGAGCGUCGCUGGCCGACAAACUAUUCUCAACUUUUUUCAACGGAUCUCUUGGUUCUUCCCUCCUUGAAGAACACCGCAACAG